rnacentral:rRNA from 1 species
AGAACGAACGCUGGCGGCAGGCUUAACACAUGCAAGUCGAGCGCCCCGCAAGGGGAGCGGCAGACGGGUGAGUAACGCGUGGGAAUCUACCCAGCCCUUCGGAAUAGCUCCGGGAAACUGGAAUUAAUACCGAGUACGCCCUACGGGGGAAAGAUUUAUCGGGGUUGGAUGAGCCCGCGUUGGAUUAGCUAGUUGGUGGGGUAAUGGCCUACCAAGGCGACGAUCCAUAGCUGGUCUGAGAGGAUGAUCAGCCACACUGGGACUGAGACACGGCCCAAACUCCUACGGGAGGCAGCAGUGGGGAAUAUUGGACAAUGGGCGCAAGCCUGAUCCAGCCAUGCCGCGUGAGUGAUGAAGGCCCUAGGGUUGUAAAGCUCUUUUGUGCGGGAAGAUAAUGACGGUACCGCAAGAAUAAGCCCCGGCUAACUUCGCGCCAGCAGCCGC